rnacentral:rRNA from 1 species
CUGGGAACUGCGUUCUGAACUGGGUGACUAGAGUGUGUCAGAGGGAGGUAGAAUUCCACGUGUAGCAGUGAAAUGCGUAGAGAUGUGGAGGAAUACCGAUGGCGAAGGCAGCCUCCUGGGAUAACACUGACGUUCAUGCCCGAAAGCGUGGGUAGCAAACAGGAUUAGAUACCCUGGUAGUCCACGCCCUAAACGAUGUCGAUUAGCUGUUGGGCAGCAUGACUGCUUAGUAGCGAAGCUAACGCGUGAAAUCGACCGCCUGGGGAGUACGGUCGCAAGAUUAAAACUCAAAGGAAUUGACGGGGACCCGCACAAGCGGUGGAUGAUGUGGAUUAAUUCGAUGCAACGCGAAGAACCUUACCUGGUCUUGACAUGUACGGAACCCUCCAGAGACGGAGGGGUGCCUUCGGGAGCCGUAACACAGGUGCUGCAAGGCUGUCGUCGGCUCGUGUCGUGAGAUGUUGGGUUAAGUCCCGCAACGAGCGCAGCCCUUGUCAUUAGUUGCCAUCAUUAAGUUGGGCACUCUAAUGAGACUGCCGGUGACAAGCCGGAGGAAGGUGGGGAUGACGUCAAGUCCUCAUGGCCCUUAUGACCAGGGCUUCACACGUCAUACAAUGGUCGGUACAGAGGGUAGCCAAGCCGCGAGGUGGAGCCAAUCUCACAAAACCGAUCGUAGUCCGGAUUGCACUCUGCAACUCGAGUGCAUGAAGUCGGAAUCGCUAGUAAUCGCAGGUCAGCAUACUGCGGUGAAUACGUUCCCGGGUCUUGUACACACCGCC